GGUAUUUUUCUGCUUGAAUGCAUUAGAGUGUUAGAAAUUGAUCAGCAUAACUGUGGGGUUCCACUUCCAUGUAGGGUUUGCUGUACUUACCCCUGCUUAACAGUUAGCGCUCCAUGGGUGGAUACCAUAUAGAGCUCUGAAUUCUAAGCAUUACAUAGUUACUGAUGCUGCUGAUUGCAUGGGCUGCCCAAUCACUGUUCUCAGCACACUCGCACUGGAAUGUAUGCCAAGCUCUCGAGAUUCACUUGCAGAGGAGGAGAUAGAAGGAACACUGCAAUGACGGUCAUCUCUCAAGAGCGAGAGGCCUGAAAUCGUAUCCAUUACUCAUUUUUCACCAUUACAGCCCGCAGCACCUGCUACAGUGUGGCAUCAGAGGAUGAAAAAGAGGCUGCCUGCGAUUGAUGUAUGAAAGGUUAAGAAAAUGACCACCACAAUAUUGUAAAUCCUGACUGGGUCUGAAAUAAAGAUGGAAAUUCUGGCGAGUGUUCUUUGAAGUAUUC